UGUUACGAAUGUCACGAUAUUUGACAGAACAUGUAAAUACUUGUGAAUAUCUUCUUAUCAGUGUACUUUUCCGGUAACUCCAUAACUUGAUUAAAAUGUGCGCCGAUGGUCCCUUGAUAUGUAUAUUUUUACUAUUAAAGAUGGGAGUUUUGUUUUACGAAGAACGUCCAAAACAGGAUAUUUACAAACGCCUGAGAAGUCAUUUAAGAAUGGUAUAAACGAAUAUUAUUUGUUUGAAAUGUUUGGUGGCCCUUAAAAGAACCAAGUCAAAAAACACCCGAACUCCAUUUAAGAUGGCGGUGGAUAAAGAACUGCAGCUGCUAAGCAGAACUCGUGGACCCGUUCACCCAGUGGGAAUCUUCUUUUAAAUAAAAAUUCCGCGAGGUACCCCACGAAGUGCUCUGUUCUGCGUCCAUAGCGGGGCAGCCCUCCCCUCACGUCUCUCCAGGUCCGCUCGAUGUUUUGGGUGUGAGCUUCUGGAUCUGUUGGGUUGACAAAGUUGAGGGAAUGGUUCACACUCAAGUGCUGGAAGCCCUCCUCUUCCAGCGUGUUAUACGCCCUCCAGCAGUCGGAUACAACAACACUACCAGGAUGUAUCCAUUCACGAAUAACCCCUAGUAAUGUUGGUGCAUCACGACUAGGUACGGGCACCAGGAAGACGUUCUUGGUGGUGCGGUCGAAACCUCCAAAAACCCACUGGCCUUCAAUUCGGCGACCGCGGUUAUAUUUGCGUCUGCCAAAUUUGGCCUCGUCAAUCUCCACUAUGACGCCAGGACCUCCGAUCUUCAUGGAGUUUGACAGGGCCCAGUUAAAGCAAACUUCCCUACAGAAGGACGACCAAUCCACAAUUGUUGCCGAGCUCCAGCCCAAUUCCAAUUGUGCCAUUGCCUGCCUGGGGAAUCUCGCAAUACACCAUACACCUAUAAAAUAGGUGAUAUCCUCCAGGGGUAGGUGGCUUCGCUCAAAAAAGGUGCCCACCCGACAACUUCUCUUGAACUGGCAUUGCGUCUUCUUCGGAGCCUUCUUCUGUUCAGAACGGUCUGUGUACCGCACUCUUGCACAUACGUGCAAGUAGCUGUUGAUGUUGACUUCAACCGCUACUCCACACGUUGGACAAUUGCGGAACCGUCUCAACAUGUUGUGCGAGACCAGAAAAUCGACAACGCGCCUCCGAUCCUCGCAACGCACCGCAAGUUGUCGCAGCGAAUUCGUACAACCCUCACACGCCAUUAUGAACAAUUAAUACAAUUGACAUAUGUCAUUAAAAGCCGCCAAUUAGCUUCCGCAGAGGCAAAUGGCGGUUUAUGUCUUUGAUGUAAUUUUUAUUGUUAUAAAAAAAUAUAAAAUUGAAAGCAUUCCGA